rnacentral:misc_RNA from 1 species
UUUCCGUAGGUGAACCUGCGGAAGGAUCACUAUUGUUUAACCGAGGUGCGAGGGCUGUCGCUGACCCGACAGUUCGUGCACGCCCGAGUGCCCUCACACACAUCCAUCUCACCCCUAUGUGCACCACCGCGUGGGUCCCCCUUUGGCUUGUUCGGAGGGGGGCUUACGUUUUCACACAAACUUUGUAUGCAGUGUAGAAUGUAUUUUUUGUUUUUGCGAUCACGCAACCAAUACAACUUUCAACAACGGAUCUCUUGGCUCUC